rnacentral:lncRNA from 1 species
ACUCCGUCUCGGUGCACAACCGACCAAAUUCACCCAAAGGAAAACAAACCCAGAGAAGUGAGGCGUAGUAGUGCUCGUCCUUUUCACUUCUAUUUCCUUAUUUACUCGAUAUCGGGAAGGCAGGAGGACAGAAAAGAAGUUAUGAGGUGAUAUGUUGUAGGAACAGCAGGCAAAAUGCUUUACGUAUUUCUUGUGGACACAGGGACCAUGAUGACCUUUGACAUGAACCUGGCACUGGAAAAUGUGUCGGUUCUGAAGGAGGUCAUUCACCGGUCCAUGAGGGUACCCCCGGAGAAGCAAGUCCUGCUCAUCUCAGGGGUGAGGC